UACAUAGGGGGCAAGCGUUAUCCGGAAUUAUUGGGUGUAAAGGGUGCGUAGACGGAGAAACAAGUUGGUUGUGAAAUCCCUCGGCUCAACCGAGGAACUGCAACCAAAACUAUUUCCCUUGAGUGUCGGAGAGGAAAGUGGAAUUCCAUGUGUAGCGGUGAAAUGCGUAGAUAUAUGGAGGAACACCGGUGGCGAAAGCGGCUCUCUGGCUUGUAACUGACACUGAGGCUCGAAAGCGUCGGGAGCAAACAGG
rnacentral:rRNA from 1 species